AACCUCCGCAAUGUGAGAAAUCGCGACGGGGGGAUCCCAAGUGCCAUUCUUAACGGGAUGGCUUUUCAUUAGUGUAAAGAGCUUUUGGAAUAAGGGCUGGGCAAGACCGGUGCCAGCCGCCGCGGUAACACCGGCAGCUCUAGUGGUAGCAGUUUUUAUUGGGCCUAAAGCGUCCGUAGCCGGUUUAAUAAGUCUCUGGUGAAAUCCUGUAGCUUAACUGUGGGAAUUGCUGGAGAUACUAUUAGACUUGAGACCGGGAGAGGUUAGAGGUACUCCCAGGGUAGAGGUGAAAUUCUGUAAUCCUGGGAGGACCGCCUGUUGCGAAGGCGUCUAACUGGAACGGUUCUGACGGUGAGGGACGAAAGUUAGGGGCGCGAACCGGAUUAGAUACCCGGGUAGUCCUAACUGUAAACGAUGCGGACUUGGUGUUGGGGUGGCUUUGAGCUGCUCCAGUGCCGAAGGGGAGCUGUUAAGUCCGCCGCCUGGGAAGUACGGUCGCAAGACUGAAACUUAAAGGAAUU
rnacentral:rRNA from 1 species